UGAAGCUUUUAUAGUCAAGCAAACCUCAGAAUUGAAAUGACUGCUAAUUGUGCUUUGUGAGCUUAUUAGCACGACUCUAGAUAUUUUUAUUUCACCUUUAAAGGAUGUACAGUAAGGGUGAGAACAUCUCGAUGAAAUCUCUGCAGUAAAUAACUCUUGGAUCCCUUUCCCAUACAAGUGAAAGGACAAAAGGAUGAUAUGCUGAGAUGGCCUCUUCACCUGCACCAAUGCCAGGGCCAGGGUGGGUCUCAGCUACCCACCCCCAGUAGGAUUUAUGAGGAUGGUGAAGAGUGGAGAGGGGUUCCCAGCAAAGGAUUUAGCAUGAGUAAAAUCAAGGAGGGAUAGAAGAACCAUCCUGAGCUAGAGGAGGUUUGAGAAGGAGAAUACUGAGACUGGCUACCCUUUCAGACAGAGCACAGAGCAGACAUUUAACCAACUUAGUCACAAUAUGUCAAGGGAGGAGAAAGAAGCCCACAUUGUGUGCCCUUUCUAGGCAUUUGCAUUAUUCUAAAUGUCUUGCACCUUUAAUAUGUUUCCAUUUGCAGACACUAGAAAAGUCCUGGGCACCCUGUGGGGUGAUGAGGGAAGAUGACGUGCGAUGGAGACAUGGCUUGGGUGGGUGCAGAGUUCCAACUCAGUUUUCCCUAUGGGAAGCCUGGGUGCCUAUCUCCUUGGCUUUUACCUUGACCAGGGAGGGUAAGCAGUUUCUGUUCAGGGCAGACUCACUGGAUCUCACUUUGGGAUUUGGGGACUUGGACUGGAGUUCUUUAUUUGAACUGUUACUCUUUUCUUCUUUUGUGGUCAAAAUCCUCCCCAUAAUGAUGGCUUUGGGGAGAGUUUUUGCUUUUCCUUCGACUAACUCUCUGUUGUCUCAGACUUUGCAGUGUGCACAUCAAGUUUCUCGGGGCCAA
rnacentral:lncRNA from 10 species